AUGGAUGAGAAUUCGCCGAAGAAGAUCUGGGAGAAGCUGGAAAGUCAGUUUAUGUCCAAGACUGCAACGACUAAGGUGUAUCUGAAGCAAAAGUUGUAUGGGAUGAGGAUGCAGGAGGGGUCAGAUCUUGUGGAGUAUAUGAACGCCUUUAAUCAAGUCGUGACGGAUCUAGCACGCUUGGGUGCAACGUUUGACGACGAGGAUAGGGCAAUUCUGCUUCUUUGUUUGUUGCCAUCAUCCUAUGACCAUUUGAUCACUACUUUGACGCACGGCAAGGAGACCGUCAAGAAUGAGGAUAUUACUGCCGCAUUGCUAUCUUAUGAUAUGAGAAAAAAGAACGCGGUGGAAGUCUCUCAUGGUGAAGGUUUGCUAGUCAAGGGUCAGCAGUGGCGGAAGGGAUAUGAGGCAGGGAAGAACAAGAAAAAGAAUAUACGGUGUCACAAGUGUAAGCAGUGGGGACAUAUGAGAAAGGACUGUCCAGAACUCAAUAGUGGGGCAAGUGCUAAUAAGGCAACUUAUGGUGAUGACUCAGACAGCAGUAGUGAUGUUCUCAUAGUAUCAGACAGGCGGUCAACCGAAGGUGAAGCGUGGAUGUUGGAUUCAGCUUGCUCUUUUCAUGCGACACCCAACAGGGAGUGGUUCUCUUCGUACAAGUUUGGUGAGUUUGGUUUAGCCUAUGUGGGCGAUGACACAGGUUAUCGUGUUGCUGGAGUAGGUGACAUCAAAAUCAAGAUGUUUGACGGAGUUGAGUGGAUGCUUCGGGGAGUCAGGCAUGUCCAGGGCUAA
rnacentral:rRNA from 1 species